GACCCCAGUCGUGAGACACCCUGGACCAACUGUGGGGACUUCCUCAUGCUAUCGGUGAAGGGAACAGUUGUCACAUGGUUGCACAGAGGAACAUUUGAGUGUCUCUGACAAAGCAUACUCUGGGCCCCUGUCCUGGACCAGUAUUUCUACUGACUGGGCUGCUGCAUGUUGUUAUGGGUGGCUGCUGAGGAAGGUGGUUCCCCAGAGGAUGCAUCAUCCAACUGCUCCAAGAUCCUCCUCUGUCAGACAAAUUGUCAUGCAUGUUUCCCAACACAGAUGACCUCCAAGGGCCUGGCUGCCUGCACCUUUCCACAGGGGCAAUUCUCAGCAUACAGCAACAGCCCUGGGGAAAAACACUUUGAGGCACUGGAAACCUGGGUCCAAAUGCUGCUCCAAGAGGGCCUCAGGCACUGAGCUCCAGGCUGCCCAUGUUUCUGCCAGUGUGCAGAUGCUCUAUGAAAUCUAUGAAAAGUUGUCUCCA
rnacentral:lncRNA from 1 species